UUUUUGCUGUACUUCUUGUUUCCUUAUCGUAGUAUUUUUACAGUAAAUGGCACGGUUUGUUUAAUGAUAAGUGUGUGAUUAUAUAGAAAUCCAAUUUAAUCAAGCUCUAAUAAGUGAUCAAAUAUUAUUUAUUUCCAAAAAUAUAAAUCAAUAAGAUCCAAGUGAAUGAGAAAUUUAAUUAUAUAUUUAUUUGUGCAAAUACAUAUUUAUACAUAAUCGAACGUACAUAUAGUGUUUUUUAUUAUCGUUUUCUUUUUGUUGUUAUUUAAUUCUUUUUACGAGAAGAAUGUAUACAGUUCUUUUUUCAAUAUAAAAGAAAAAAUAACAUGAGGUUCAUCAAAUUAGUACCUUCCUCAAGAAGGAAAAAUCGUAAAAAUCACUUCAUGGUUUCUUUUCAUGUACGUAGAAGGUUAAUAUCUGGACCUCUUUCAAAAGAUUUAAGACAAAAAUACAACGUACGAUCCAUGUCUAAAAGCAAGGAUGGUGAAGUACAGUAUAAAAUAGAAGUAACUUGAAGUUACUGAUUAUGGAAUUAGCUGCUCUAUGGAAAAGUUGGAAUAUAAAAGGUUGUUCGUGGACGUUACAAAGGCCAAUAAGUUGAUAAAGUUAUUGAAGUGUAUAGAAAGAAGAAUGUUAUCUCUUAAAGACCAUAAUUCUAAAACUUGAAGUGGACAAAGAUAGGAGAAAGAAAUUAGUGAAAAACGAGUUAAAAACAAAAGUAUAAUCUCUAUUCCUUCUCAUACAAUGUGUUACUUACUACAUACUAGUUUAAUGUUAAUUAAAAAUUUAUUGCUAAAAUGUAAACAUAUAAUACUAAAUUAAAUAUAUUACAUUAAAUUAUGAUCAUAAGAAAUAAUUUUUUAUUAAAUUAUAUAGAAUUUAAUAUAUAUAUUAAGAAAAAUUGUAUAUAAACCUUUUUACAGAUUCAAUUAUACAUACAUUCGUAGCUCAGUUGAUUGAAUGUCAUCCCGAGAAAAGAAUUCUUGCGUUGUUCGAGUUCCCCCUUUUCCCGGUGGUGGCAAGGCACAAAAUUUCCUUGAACAGAUCUUUUCGCAGUAAUUUAGUGAUAUUCUAAUUGUGCUGUUUGAAACGGAAGCAUUGAUAAAUCGUCUUUCUCUCUCUUACCUUCUUUCAGACUCGAUCACAAUAUUUCCUUUACCCAAUCAUACACUAUUGUAUUUGAUCAUUAAACAGCUGAUGAAAAAAAGGGUAAAAAACUACAAUUAAAGAAAGAGGAAGAGAAGAAGAAACCAAGUCUAUGUAUUUCAACAAUUUUUCUUAUCAGCUUUUUCAAUUCAAUUACCAUUUUCAAAUGAAAUUGGUUUGCUGGAUAUAAAUUAUUCCCCUUUUCUAUCACCACCCAUGUUUAUACCCCACAAUCACCAACGACUACUGACUACUCUAAGAAUUAUAUAUUCUCUCAAGCAAAGAAUAGUUCAUCCAGGGAGAGAAACUCCUAUAUUAACUCCAACAUUAAUAACAUUAACGAGAUGUUUCGACACAUAAUAUUUAUUAUAUUGUGCAUCAUUUAAUACAUGAUGUUCUCUUCUCCCACGACAUGGGACGAAAAAAAGUCACAAUUUUACUGGCAUUAAUCGAAUUCACUGUCAAAGAUGAUCUACAUUAAAUAAAAAGUAUUAAAGUUA